GUUGUAUGAAAAUGCAAAAAAAAAAACGGUAGAACGUCGGUUGGUUACUGUUUGAAGGGUUUUGAAUGCACCCGAUAAGUGUAAUGUCCCUUUAAACACAUUCCAUUUAAUGUCAGACUAAGAUUUGACAGAAAUGAAUGCGGUUCCAAUUACAUAAAU